GUCAGGAUGGUCAAGUGGUCUAAGGCACUGCGUUCAGGUCGCAGUCCACUUCUGUGGGCGUGGGUUCGCGCGCGAAUCCCACUUCUGACA